AGAAAACUCUGCAUGUCACAUCAGCAUUCAGCUCUGCAGGAUCAGUGUAAUGGGGAUGGACAGGGAAGACCGCAUUACAACCCUUAAAGAACUACGGUUGUAUGAAGAGGAAAACACUCUCCUCAAGGAACCAUUCAUGUUACAGAGAGAUUAUGAGAUGUUCUAUGUGGAGGCAGUUGACAAGAAUUAUUGUCUUUGCCUCUCUUUUGAGGAGCAGGAUUGAAGCCAUUUUUGAGGUGUGGUCAAACCUAGUUUUUGUCUGCGGUGUUAAUUGUUUCAUGUUGUUCAGUAAAUAUGUAGAAGUCA